rnacentral:sRNA from 1 species
UAUUGAUCAGGUAUCGUGCGUGCGUUCAA